GCCUGGGUGGCUCAGUCAGUUAAGCGUCCAACUUCGGAUCGGGUCAUGAUCUCACGGUUCGUGGGUUCGAGCCCCACAUUGGGCU
rnacentral:tRNA from 1 species